UGCGGCCCUCGCGCCGCCCCGCCGUCGCAGGCUGCUUUCCAUCUCCAAAGGGCUGCUGCCUGCAAAAUACAGUGUUGGAUUAGAGCUGUUCAUUUAAUGAGAAAAGGACGAACAUCAUUUUUGGAACAAAAAAGUAGUGCAGUGAUUAUACAACAGUGGUAUCGAAAUAUGCGUUCAACAAAAUUACAGCAACAAGAGCACCAAAAACUGAGGUUAAUAGUGAUACACAUUCAACAGAAAUACAGGGAUACAUUGUUGAUGAAAUGAUAGAAAUAUUUAUCAGAGGAAAAGGUGGGCAUCUGUUAUUAUUCAGAGAUGGUUUCGAGCCACUCUUAAUAUGAAACGUCAGCGUGAUUUGUAUUUGACACAGAGAUGUUGUAUUAUUACUAUACAGAGAUGGUUCAGGAGUGUUUGGUCCAAAAGAGAAAGAGAAGCAAUACGAAAAGUACUAGUUCCCAUAUCCCAAUCAGAAAUUGAAAAUCGUGCUGCGCUCAAAAUACAGGCCUUUUGGAGGGGUUUUGCUGCACGAAAGCGGCUGCCUAGUAACUGCUUAAGUCUGAAAAAUAGAGGUGUUACCAGAAACCCCUCGCAACCUGUUCAGACAUUGCGGUGGAAGUACACAAAUAUUCUGAGGUGCUUUGAACAGAAUUCCCUGGGACAGUUGAUCAUGCUCUUCGAGUCUCUAACUUCUUUGACAACUGUCUAGAGAUGUAUGUAAAGAUUUUUCUGCAAGUGAAUACCUACCAAAAGUUUUCGUUGAACUUAAACUAGCAAAUCGUUCAUUUGCAUAUCAGAGACUGUUCAUUUGGAACACAGUUACUCUUGAAUCUGGCAAAAUACCCAGAAAACAGGGACAACAUUUGGCAGGUUGAUGAGGCCCUAGAAAUUGUUUCGACUGAUGAUGCAGUUUAUGGGAACACAGUUACCAAUAUUCUCCAAUUGCUGCAAAGUACUUCGGUUGCUUGCUGAUGAUCCUUUGAAAGCACAAACGACGGACGACGGACGGCGGCGGUGUCGGCGAGCGGCGGCAGGCGCGUCGAUCACGCGCGGGCGCAGCAGGCGGCGGGCGACAGCACGGAC